rnacentral:rRNA from 1 species
CCUACGGGAGGCAGCAGUGAGGAAUAUUGGUCAAUGGGCGAGAGCCUGAACCAGCCAAGUCGCGUGAAGGAUGACGGCCCUACGGGUUGUAGACUUCUUUUGUCAGGGAGCAAUUGGGUCCACGCGUGGGCUUAGCGCGAGUACCUGAAGUAAAAGCAUCGGCUAACUCCGUGCCAGCAGCCGCGGUAAUACGGAGGAUGAGAGCGUUAUCCGGUGUGAUUGGGGUAAAAGGGUGCGGAGGCGGAAUAUAAAGUCAGCGGGAAAAAUUCGGGGCUCAACCCCGGCGUGCCGUUGAAACUGAUGUUCUUGAGGGGGCGAGAAGUAAGCGGAAUG